ACUUCAGAGAAAAGAUUGUCAGAGAGGCAUUCCCUUCACCGCAUACCCCAGACCUGCAAACUUCCUGCAUCCCACUCCUCCUCCUUCCCUUGGUUUGGCACAGACGGACUCCCCAGACUCAUCUCCCCACCAAGUUCCCAACGCUUUCUCUCUAGUCCCUUUUCUCUCCUCUUGGUCUUCAAUGCCUCCCUCUCCAGCAGCUUCUUCUUAUCAGCAUCAAAUACGCUCAAACUGCUCUAAUCAUAAAAGUGAAUAGUAACAGGUACUGCUUUUUAGUGUGUGUUAAGUACUUUUACAGGCGCCAUCUCAUCUAACCUUCACACAAACCCUGUGAGGCAGGUAUUGUCAUCAUCAUCCUCAUUUCACAGAGGAGGAAACUGAGGCACAAAGUUAAGUGACUUGCCAAAGGUUUCACAGUGGUGAGGACUGCAGUGAGUAAGGGUGGGGACUUCAGAACCCAGAGCCUGUCUUCUAACCACACACUUGCUUUAAAAGGCUCCUCACCCUCAUCCCAAAUUCUUCUCCCGCAUCUACACUCUCUCCUCACUUUAAAGGAACUUCCAGAAAGGACUGUCUCCACAGGCACUCUGCUUCCUCACUGGAAUCUCCCCAAGGUUCUCAAAGUGGAGGUGGCCAAAUGCCCUGGGCCCGUCCCAGUUUCUAUCCAGCCAGCCCUCUGGCCAGCACCUGACAGGAGUCUUGGCCCCUCCUUACGGAAUCCCUUCCUUUUCGCAUCCCCUCGUGUCCCCUGCCCCCUUCUCUGCUCCUUAUCGUCUCCUUGACCCCCUUCUCUUCCACCCUGAACCUCCAUCGGUCCCAUCUUUGUGGCUCCGCCCUCUGGGGGCUCUGCACACGCGGAGUCUCUGCGCCGCGUACCCCCAUCUCCCCAGCCUUCCACUUUCUCCGUGGGCCGCCCUCAGGAUGGGGUUAGGCACCUGGCUUUGCGAUCCCAUUGCGUCCCACAACACGAGCACAGCCCCCUCCCACCCGGCUCGGUGAUUCUGGGUUGCCUGUUUGUGGCCCUCAACCCGGUUUGUGCGGCCCGAGGGUAGGUGACCGUCGUCUCGCCACCGCCAUAUAUCCAGUUGCCUGCGCAACGCUGGGAGCAGAGCAGCGCCCGCGACUAUACAAGGAUGUGCGAACCCGGGGUACCCCGGCGGCUGCGGCAGGGAGUUCGGGGCCGGGCUCCGCAGGCGCGGAUUCCAGGGCCCUGGCUGCGCGCGAGGGAGGCCGCGCUUGGGGAGCCCCCGGCCGAGCAAGCAGGAGCUGGCGCGUCCCAGGCGGGGAGCGCGGGGGGCGGGGGCCGGGGAGCCGCCCGCAGUCCCG
rnacentral:lncRNA from 1 species